GUCAGCUUCUCGGACCUGAGGGACGUGAACGUUCGGCCCUGAGGGUGGUUGACCAGCCCGAGAACCUCUGAAGGGAGGGAUCUACGUUGUACACAGGUCAGACGACCCACUCCGGGGUGCUUCCUCAGCCCCGGACCCUGGAAUCCGCGUCAGUAGACACGGCACCGAGAAGCCACGAAACGGGACGCGGACGCCACCCGGCAGCCGGUGUACGACAUGGGCGAGGGGAGACCGGCGGACGCCG
rnacentral:sRNA from 1 species